rnacentral:rRNA from 1 species
GGGAAAAGCUCAAAUUUGAAAUCUGGCAGUUCUUGCGACUGUCCGAGUUGUAAUUUGUAGAGGAUGUUUUGGGUACCGCCACGGUUUAAUUUUCUUGGAACAGGAAGCCAAAGAGGGUGAGAGUCCCGUCUUGGACCGCGGUAGGGCUCGUGUAAAACUCCUUCGAC